UUGGUUUGUUCUAAAUCAAACUUGUCCAAUUUUAACUAAAUUUAUAGAAAAAUAUAACAACAAUCAUACUACCAAAUAUAUGUCUAUCAAAAUAUAUCCUAUGGUAGAUUUAAUGAAACAAGUUUGGUAUUAUAAAUAUUGUUAUAUUUUUCUAUAAAUAUGGUCAAAUUUUGCUGAGUUUGACUUAGGACAAACUAAA
rnacentral:pre_miRNA from 1 species